CUCCUAGACGUUUUGGGCUGCACGCGCACUACACUGAUGCAGCAAACGAGUUGCACCCAUUUCGGGUCCUGUCCAGCAAUGGUCGGGAAAUCGUUGCAAAUUCCAUUCGUGACUGGGAUAGAUGUCUGCAAGUACUCGCCUUGAACGAGGAAUGCCCAGUACAGGCGCUUCAUCAGAGCGCCCGGAAUGCGUCCCUGUCAUUUGUACACACCGCCCGUCGUUGCUACCGAUUGGUGACAAAAUAGAGUUCUUGGGAUGGCGUGGGUCACCUCGGUGUCCCGCUGCCUGAACUUGUGCAAUAUUUUGCCACUAGAGGAAGCAAAAGUCGUAACA
rnacentral:rRNA from 1 species